GUAUCAUCCUCAAGCUCAUCAAAAUCAUUGUCAUCAUCAUAGUCUUCUUCCUUUUUAGUUUCUACAUCCUCAUCAUCAUUGUCGUCAACAUAAAUACAUACCUCCCUUGCAUCAAUUUCUUCUGCAUGAUUAUGAUAUGAAAGGAUUAGGACUUCAUCAAGAUCGUUAUUCAAAUGAGGAGGAAUAUAUGAUAUUCUUGUUUCUUCAUCUUGGUAAUAAUUAUCAUCAUUUGAUCAUGCCUCUAUUGAUUCAUCAUCAUAAACCUCAGCAGGAUAUAAUUUUGCUUUCACGUUACAAACUACCCACCAAUCAUUCCUAUCUUUGUUCCUGGA
rnacentral:lncRNA from 1 species